rnacentral:rRNA from 1 species
UACAGAGGGGGCAAGCGUUGUUCGGAAUUACUGGGCGUAAAGGGCGCGUAGGCGGCCUGCUAAGUCGAACGUGAAAUCCCCGGGCUCAACCCGGGAACUGCGUCCGAUACUGGCAGGCUUGAAUCCGGGAGAGGGAUGUGGAAUUCCAGGUGUAGCGGUGAAAUGCGUAGAUAUCAGGAAGAACACCAAUGGCGAAGGCAGCUCUCUGGGACGGUACUGGACGCUGAGACGCGAAAGCGUGGGGAGCGAACAGG